rnacentral:rRNA from 1 species
AACCACCUGAUCCCUUCCCGAACUCAGAAGUGAAACGACGCAUCGCCGAUGGUAGUGUGGGGUCUCCCCAUGUGAGAGUAGGUCAUCGUCAAGC